rnacentral:rRNA from 1 species
GGACAGUGUCUGGUGGGUAGUUUGACUGGGGCGGUCUCCUCCUAAAGCGUAACGGAGGAGCACGAAGGUUGGCUAAUCCUGGUCGGACAUCAGGAGGUUAGUGCAAUGGCAUAAGCCAGCUUGACUGCGAGCGUGACGGCGCGAGCAGGUGCGAAAGCAGGUCAUAGUGAUCCGGUGGUUCUGAAUGGAAGGGCCAUCGCUCAACGGAUAAAAGGUACUCCGGGGAUAACAGGCUGAUACCGCCCAAGAGUUCAUAUCGACGGCGGUGUUUGGCACCUCGAUGUCGGCUCAUCACAUCCUGGGGCUGAAGUAGGUCCCAAGGGUAUGGCUGUUCGCCAUUUAAAGUGGUACGCGAGCUGGGUUUAGAACGUCGUGAGACAGUUCGGUCCCUAUCUGCCGUGGGCGCUGGAGAACUGAGGGGGGCUGCUCCUAGUACGAGAGGACCGGAGUGGACGCAUCACUGGUGUUCGGGUUGUCAUGCCAAUGGCACUGCCCGGUAGCUAAAUGCGGAAGAGAUAAGUGCUGAAAGCAUCUAAGCACGAAACUUGCCCCGAGAUGAGUUCUCCCUGAGACUACAAGUCUCCUGAAGGAACGUUGAAG